AAGUCGUAACAAGGUUUCCGUAGGUCAAGUUUAGCCUGCCACAGCGGGUUCAACCUCGCCUAGUCUCCCUGCUGGAGGCGAUCAUGCGCUCAACCUGUGGGGAAGGCCCGUCCCGGGAAAUCCACAGCCCACUUCCCUCGCCCGGAAGUCGGUUUAGAGGACUCAUGAGCGUGGGUGCUGUCUCAGCGCUUGAAAUUAGAGUCCGUCCCAGCUGGUAGCCUGGGGCGACGAACUGCGAAGUCAUCAUGCGGCUUUGCGAAGCAGAUUCUCGCCCGUGUAUACACUACUCUGUUGCUUUGGCCGGCGCCUGCGCCGGCCAGAGGGAAACCCUUGAAUCUCUGCAGUCUGAGCUCGAUAAAAUUAGGUCAAA
rnacentral:misc_RNA from 1 species